AGAGUUUGAUCCUGGCUCAGAAUCAACGCUGGCGGCGUGCCUAACACAUGCAAGUCGAACGCGAAAGCCCCGCAAGGGGCAAGUAGAGCGGCAAACGGGUGAGUAACACGUGGGUGACCUGCCUUCGAGCGGGGGAUAACGUCCCGAAAGGGACGCUAAUACCGCAUAACAUCCUGCCUUUGAAGAGGUGGAGAUCAAAGCCGGGGAUCGCAAGACCCGGCACUUGAAGAGGGGCCCGCGCCUGAUUAGCUAGUUGGUGGGGUAAUGGCCUACCAAGGCAACGAUCAGUAUCCGGCCUGAGAGGGCGGACGGACACACUGGGACUGAGGCACGGCCCAGACUCCUACGGGAGGCAGCAGUGGGGAAUUGUUCGCAAUGGGCGCAAGCCUGACGACGCAACGCCGCGUGGAGGAUGAAGAUUUUCGGAUCGUAAACUCCUGUCGAAUGGGACGAAUAGAUUGCGGGUUAACAGCCCGUAGUCCUGACGGUACCGUAAAGAAUCC
rnacentral:rRNA from 1 species